rnacentral:rRNA from 1 species
AGCAGCCGCGGUAAUUCCAGCUCCAAUAGCGUAUAUUAAAGUUGUUGCAGUUAAAAAGCUCGUAGUUGAAUUUCGGGGUUCUACCGUCGGUCGGGCUAACAAGUCUGUACUGGUGUGUAGAAUUUCUACCUUCUGGGGAACUAUCAUGUUAUUAAUUUAGCGUGGUGGGAAACCAGGACCUUUACCUUGAAAAAAUUAGAGUGUUCAAAGCAGGCUUACGUCUGAAUACAUUAGCAUGGAAUAAUAGAAUAGGACGGUGGUCCUGUUUUGUUGGUUUCUGAAUCACCGUAAUGAUUAAUAGGGAUAGUUGGGGGCAUUAGUAUUCAAUUGUCAGAGGUGAAAUUCUUGGAUUUAUUGAAGACUAACUUCUGCGAAAGCAUUUGCCAAGGAUGUUUUCAUUAAUCAAGAACGAAAGUUAGGGGAUCGAAGACGAUCAGAUACCGUCGUAGUCUUAACCAUAAACUAUGCCGACUAGGGAUCGGACGAUGUUAACCUUUAUUGACUCGUU